rnacentral:rRNA from 1 species
CGAUCCAACCCUAAAUACUAAUACCAGAUCGAUAGUGCACAAGUACCGUGAGGGAAAGGUGAAAAGAACUGAGGUGAUCAGAGUGAAAUAGAACCUGAAACCAUUUGCUUACAAUCAUUCAGAGCCCUAUGUAGCAAUACAGGGUGAUGGACUGCCUUUUGCAUAAUGAGCCUGCGAGUUGUGGUGUCUGGCAAGGUUAAGCAAACGCGAAGCCGUAGCGAAAGCGAGUCUGAAUAGGGCGCUUAGUCAGAUGCUGCAGACCCGAAACGAAGUGAUCUAUCCAUGAGCAAGUUGAAGCUAGUGUAAGAACUAGUGGAGGACUGAACCCAUAGGCGUUGAAAAGCCCCGGGAUGACUUGUGGAUAGGGGUGAAAGGCCAAUCAAACUUCGUGAUAGCUGGUUCUCUCCGAAAUAUAUUUAGGUAUAGCGUUGUGUCGUAAUAUAAGGGGGUAGAGCACUGAAUGGGCUAGGGCAUACACCAAUGUACCAAACCCUAUCAAACUCCGAAUACCUUAUAUGUAAUCACAGCAGUCAGGCGGCGAGUGAUAAAAUCCGUCGUCAAGAGGGAAACAACCCAGACUACCAGCUAAGGUCCCUAAAUCUUACUUAAGUGGAAAACGAUGUGAAGUUACUUAAACAACCAGGAGGUUGGCUUAGAAGCAGCCAUCCUUUAAAGAAAGCGUAAUAGCUCACUGGUCUAGUGAUUUUGCGCGGAAAAUAUAACGGGGCUAAAGU